rnacentral:rRNA from 1 species
ACUCUACGAAACCUAAAGGCGCAAUGAAAGUGAAGGUCCGCCUCGCGCGGACCGAGGGAGGAUGGGACGGUCUUCGGGCCGACCUCGCACUCCCGGGGCGUCUCGCUCUCAUCGCGAGAAGAGGCGCACCCAGAGCGUACACGCUGGGACCCGAAAGAUGGUGAACUAUGCCUGGUCAGGACGAAGUCAGGGGAAACCCUGAUGGAGGUCCGUAGCGAUUCUGACGUGCAAAUCGAUCGUCGGAACUGGGUAUAGGGGCGAAAGACUAAUCGAACCUUCUAGUAGCUGGUUCCUUCCGA